UGGCCUAUGGUGUAAUUGGCAGCACGCCGGUUUCUGGUACCGUCAGUCGAGGUUCGAGUCCUUGUAGGCCAG
rnacentral:tRNA from 1 species